AUGGAGAAAGGCACGCCUGCGCUCGGUUGGGCCGCGAGAGACGACUCCGGUCUCCUCUCCCCGUACAGCUUCUCGCGAAGGGUUCAGAAGGACGAGGAUGUGACGAUCAAGGUGCUCUUCUGCGGGAUCUGCCACACCGACCUCCACAUCGCCAAGAACGAGUGGGGCAACGCCCUCUACCCCGUCGUUCCAGGGCAUGAGAUUGUCGGCGUCGUCACCGACGUCGGCCCUGGCGUCAAGAGCUUCAAGGCCGGGGACACGGUGGGCGUGGGCUACUUCCUCGACUCCUGCCGCUCCUGCCACACUUGCAGCAAGGGGUACGAGAACUACUGCCCCACCAUCGUGCUCACCUCCAACGGCGUGGACUACGACGGCGCCACCACCCAGGGCGGUUUCUCCGACGUGCUCGUCGUCAACCAGGAUUACGUCCUCCGCGUCCCGGAGAACCUGUCUCUCGCCGGGGCCGCGCCGCUGCUCUGCGCCGGCGUCACGAUGUACAGCCCGAUGAUGCAGUACGGCCUGAACGCGCCGGGGAAGCACCUCGGCGUCGUCGGCCUCGGGGGCCUCGGCCACAUGGCCGUCAAGUUCGGCAAGGCGUUCGGGAUGACCGUCACCGUAAUCAGCUCGUCGCCGAGGAAGCGCGAGGAGGCGCUCGAGCGCCUCGGCGCCGACGCGUUCUUGGUCAGCCAGGACGCCGAGCAAAUGAAGGCGGCGGCGGGCACGAUGGACGGCAUCAUCGACACGGUGUCGGCGGGGCACCCGCUGGUGCCACUGCUGGAGCUGCUGAAGCCGAUGGGGCAGAUGGUGGUGGUCGGCGCGCCGAGCGAGCCGCUGGCGCUCCCGGCCUACGCCAUCAUCGGAGGCGGCAAGCGCGUGGCCGGAAACGGCGUGGGCAGCGUCAGCAGCUGCCAGGCCAUGCUGGACUUCGCGGGGAAGCACGGCAUCACCGCGGACGUCGAGGUCGUCAAGAUGGACUACGUCAACACGGCGAUCGAGCGGCUGGAGAGGAACAACGUGAGGUACCGCUUCGUCAUCGACGUUGCCGGCAGCCAGCUGGGCGCAUCCGCUUAG
rnacentral:rRNA from 1 species